rnacentral:rRNA from 1 species
GAUGAACGCUAGCGGCAGGCUUAACACAUGCAAGUCGAGGGGUAUAGUAGCAAUACUAGAGACCGGCGCACGGGUGCGUAACGCGUAUGCAAUCUACCUUUCACAGAGGGAUAGCCCAGAGAAAUUUGGAUUAAUACCUCAUAGUAUAGUAUCUUGGCAUCAAGGAACUAUUAAAGUCACAACGGUGAAAGAUGAGCAUGCGUCCCAUUAGUUAGUUGGUAAGGUAACGGCUUACCAAGACUACGAUGGGUAGGGGUCCUGAGAGGGAGAUCCCCCACACUGGUACUGAGACACGGACCAGACUCCUACGGGAGGCAGCAGUGAGGAAUAUUGGACAAUGGGCGCAAGCCUGAGCCAGCCAUGCCGCGUGCAGGAUGACGGUCCUAUGGAUGGUAAACUGCUUUUGUACAGGAAGAAACACCCCGACGUGUCGGGACUUGACGGUACUGUAAGAAUAAGGAUCGUCUAACUCCGUGCCAGCAGCCGCCGUAA